GAUUUUAAUUUAUAAUAAACUGCAUUCAAAUUAAUUAUGAUGCACCAGAAUUCUAACUUUGAAGAAAAACUCUAAAUACCAUUGGUAUGGGCAAUGUGAAUGUCAUCUCGCCUUGUGUGGUAGGGCACAGCACAGCAGAUGUCAUUCCAGAUCUAGAGCAGAGCCCAACUGGGGAAGUA